UGAUGUAAUAAUUUAUUAAAUAUUUCUAAAAGGAAAAAAGGGAAAAGUAAUAUUUAAUAAUAUAAUACAUUAAAUGGAGCGUCAGCUCUUCAGCACGUGAUUAAUUCUAGCCAAUGAGAGCUGGGACUGCUGGAACUCUGCAUAGUUAAUGAGCUGACAUUCCGGCUUCAACUGAUACCAUCCAGCUCCGCUCAACCAGUGUUCCUUGUGGCGUUUUUAAAUGACCAACGGUUUUAACGGCCGACUAACGUUAGACCCUUCAGAUCGUUUUAUGAGUAUUGAUUGCCAUCUAGUCCUGAUUGCAGAGUUAAGCUCCAGCCCCAAUCCUGUACUGUUGAAGCAGCUGAUCAAGGUCUUCAUGAUCACCACACACUUCAGACAGGUGUGUGGACAGGCUGGAGAUAAACUCUGCAGGAUGCUGGUCCUCCAGAACACCACUGAUUUUGUGUCAGAUGCAGAUAAAGAGUCACCAGGAACAGGUCACUACAUCUUUUGUCAUGUAGAUGCUGGAACGAAAAGUAGCCAGGUCACAGCAUCUAAAAUGGAGACUUCUAUUAAAGUGGCUCCGUAACGUAAGAGACUUGGACAGUGGAAGGAGCAGAAGAACCAAAAGAUCAGAGAUCAGGCAGAGCUCUACUGUUGCCUCUUAGGGGAUUGAUUUAUCUAUAAUUAUCUAUAAUAUCUACUUAAUGUUCUGAUGUAGUUAUAAUUGGUCAUUGUUCUGUUUUAUAAAUCUAUUCAAUACAUUCUAGUGUUCAAUAGUUCGGGGUCAGAAAGUAUUUUUUUUUCUUUAAGAUAUUACAUGUAUUCAGCAAGGGUGCAUUAAACUGAUAAAAAAAUGCUGCUCUUUUAAAAGCUCUAUUCAAAAUAACCUGAAAAAAAAUAUUACUGUUUCCAAAAAUGAAGCAGCACAACUGUUUUUGAGAUGAUAAAAAAAAAAAAAUUCAUUGAGCACCAAAACAGAAUAUUUGAAUAAUUUAUUUUGGAUUGUAUGACACAGAAGACUGG
ensembl:lncRNA